UUUUUUUUCUUUUUUGGUGGAAUGUGGUUAUAGCCCUUGGUCCCUUUUGAGGGUUUUGUCGAAAAUAUCAAGUCCCCAGACCUUUUUCGGGGCGUUUUGUAUAAGCGACUCAUAGUUUAUGACUAAGUUCAUACUUAGUCUAAACUUUUCAAUAUUAAGAGGUUUUCUAUUUAACUUAGUUAUUUUGAACUCCUGUUUUGCUCAUUCUUGCCUUUAUCUUUAAGGACUUAUUGAAUAAUUUGCACUUUUAUCUCAUAAAAUGCUUUCUUAACUUCAUGAAUGUUUAAAUUAAUUAUGAAUUUUAUAAAAGAAGGCCCUUUUAUAUUUGAUACUUAAUGGUGAAGAUGUCUCAACUUCAUAAUGGUGUAAAUGUACGAUAAAAGAAAUAGGAAUACAAAUGGUUCUUGAAAUAACUUUGAUAAAGUUUUCAUUUGAACUUUGUCAAGUUUUAAAUAACAUCUUCAUAUGUAAUUAAAUAACUUCUAUAACUUUUUUGUAACUGUUUUCUUUACAACAGAUUUGAAAAAAAGAAAAUAAAACACAAGAUUUUUAUUUAUAACCCGUUUCUGUACAUUGCCUUUAACCUAACUAUGAUAAGGUUUUCUUUGGCUUUAUUUUAUUGGCUCGUAACUUUGCUCUGCACUUGAUUCAUUCAACGAGUAAACUUCUCGGGCUUUGACUUGAACUUUGAUUAUUUCUUAAUCUUCUUUGCCUUCUUUAUACAUAUGUCUAUGUAUAUUAUAUAGUCCCCCAAGUGUUUGAGCUUUGAAGUAUGAAGUCUCGAGCACUUGAUUACUCCUUUUAUUUUUUCAUUUUCCUGAAAAGGAAUAAAACAUAAGGGACUCGGAGGUAUGAUUAUAGAUGAAGACUGCUUAACCCGUCUUAAUUUCCAUCAGAAUAGUUGUAACCCUAGACCGGGAAUUUAUUCUCUUCCACAUGCCUUGUAGGUCGUGAUUCAUCAUUUAGUACGAGUUAACUUUUUGCCUAUAAUAUAAAAUCGUUAGUAAAAUUUUAACAAUUCAAAAAUAAAAUUUUAAAAUGAGGAUACCUGACCAUGGGUACUCCUUAGAAAUAGUAUCUCUUCAGGUGAACAACAUUCCAAUGUGAAGGUAAUAUCUUGCCAUCCAUUGUUUCCAGCUCGUGACACAACUCCUUUUUACCACUCGAAGGGGUAUACAAGGGAGUUUUUCCAAUUUAAGUGACAUUAUUCGAAAUGAGGUUAUUUAUUUAUUUUAUUAGAGUCACUACUUGGGAUAUUUAUUAUGGUGUCCCAAGUCACCGGUUUAUUUUAAAAUCCCAAAUCGAGGAAAUUUUGACUUUAUUUUAAAAGUCUGCGAACCAAAAAUUCUAAGUAAGGAAUUCUGUUAACCCGAGAGAAGGUGUUAGGCAUUUCCGGGUUCCGUGGUUCUAGCACGGUCGCUUAAACUAUUAGUAUUGGCCUAUUAUCUGAUUUACUACAUAUUUUAUACCUAUUGUGCAUUUUUAGCUUUAUAACCGCUUUUAUUUAUUUAAGAAAUUAUUUUACGGAACACAUUGCAAACCAUGCUACAUGAAAUGCACCCGUGAUUUGCGUUAUAUUUAUUUUUUUAUUAUUUGAAGUUGUGGUCGAGUCACAUAAAAUGCACACCCUAAUUGAGUUUUACGUAUCAUGACCACGCUACGUGAACCGUACCCGUGAUCAUGAUAAAUUUAUUAUUAAUCGCGCCUAAAGCAACUAGCGCAUCUUCAUAAUUGAAUUGUUUCUUCCUAAAAAAAACAACUUUGAGAUUACUAAGGUCAUGGAUCAUGGACCUGGAAUGAGUUGGAGGUCACAUUAUGGUUUGGAUAUUUGGAAUUAUUCGUUAUGGAGGAAAGAGAAAGGAGAAUAGUUUUGAUUAAUACGUUCAUGCCUAGAAGACCUUAAAAUGCUAACCAAACCAAAGUGACUUAAGCCCAAAUCCUUGUCUAAUUUAUCCAAGACCCAACAGAUUAUCUUUAAAAGAAUGUGACCCAUCCUACUCCCUAAACUAAAUGAAAAUCCCUCAUUCUGAUUCUCUCAAAUAUCAAAUAACACAAUAGCCUUAUCAAUAAUUAGACAAGAUAACAUCAAAUGGGCUAGAAAAGAAAAUUAUUAAGCUAUGGAAAUAUCAUGCUCGCAUUUAGCGUGUAGGUGAACAACUCAUAGUUUUAAGCAUUCGUUAAUCUAGCUUCAAAUACACUAAGUAAAUCAAAAGAACAAACAAAGCAAUUCAAGGAGAAUAACCAGAAAAAUAAUAUCUUAACAAAUCAUGAAAGAAAAUAUCUAACUAAUGAGCAAACAACAAUUAAGAAAUAGAAGUUCAUAGAGUAAGGCGAAGAAAAUGAACCUUUGAGUGAAAUAAAGUUCUUUCAUUUGAUUAAAAUUUACAACAUCUAAAAUCAACACCGAUGAGCUCAAACCGAGAAAGCUGAAAACUUUGACUGAAACUAGAUCGGAAACUUCAAACGACAUCGCCGGAACCUCGGACCGGCGAACUCGAACAUCGCCUCACUUUAAAGAUGGUUUCAGAACUGAGUUUGGACUGAUUUUGAAGUUGUUUUGCUGGGUCAUCUCCUGCUAAGUUUUUGGCUAUUUUUGAGCUGGAUUUUGCUGGGUUUUGGCAAGGAAUUCGAGCUGGAAAUGGCUGGUUUUGGGGUUAAUUGUUGCUGUUUUUUUUUUACUGUUUUUGGAGCUGAAUUUUAGCUGGGUUUGAGGUGUUUUCAGAAAACCGAGCUCAUUUGAGGUAGUUUAAAGUGGUAUUUUGGUGUUGAUUUUGGGUGGAAAAGGGAGCAGCAAUUUGGACUGUUUUGCAGCUGAUUUUUGCUGCUCUUCCUAGCUGUGAUCACAAAUGGUUUUGUUGCGAUUUUAGAACUGAUUUUGAUGGCUGAAAUACUGGAGCUUCAAGGCUGGUUUUCAUGGAUGUUUGGAUCUGGUUUUUAGGUGGCUUUUGGGGUUAGUUUUGGGGCUGAAAUUUGUGGUUUAACAGAACAGAUAAAUGGAGAUGAAACCUAUGGGUCUUUCAUGGUUAUUCAGUGAGGAAGAUGAAGUUGUUUUUGAGGAAGAAGAUGGGCAACAGUGCUGCGUUUUUUUUUCUUCCUCUUUUUUUAGCUCUAAGGUUCCUCCUCUAUUGUCCUCUCUCUUCUCCUCCUGUUGUGUGUCUUGUGUGUAUUAUUUAAGAAUAAGUGGGGAGUGGGUGGGGAACAUGAGUGGGGAGAGUGGGAACAUGAGCAGGGAAAGUGAGGAAAAUGGGUAGUGAGUGGAGAAAGUGGGGGAAGUGGAAAGUGAGUGGGAAAAGUGAGAACAAAUUCAAACAUGGUCAAAAAUUAGUUGCUCACAGCUCGUAUGCUUCUUUUCCUGCGAUAUUGUGAAUCUUGUAAGGUCCUUCCCAAGUUGGACUUAAUUUUCCUGUGUUACCC
rnacentral:lncRNA from 1 species